AAAACUCAAAUGAAUUGACGGGGGCCCGCACAAGCGGUGGAGCAUGUGGUUUAAUUCGAUGCAACGCGAAGAACCUUACCUGGUCUUGACAUCCACGGAAGUUUUCAGAGAUGAGAAUGUGCCUUCGGGAACCGUGAGACAGGUGCUGCAUGGCUGUCGUCAGCUCGUGUUGUGAAAUGUUGGGUUAAGUCCCGCAACGAGCGCAACCCUUAUCCUUUGUUGCCAGCGGUCCGGCCGGGAACUCAAAGGAGACUGCCAGUGAUAAACUGGAGGAAGGUGGGGAUGACGUCAAGUCAUCAUGGCCCUUACGACCAGGGCUACACACGUGCUACAAUGGCGCAUACAAAGAGAAGCGACCUCGCGAGAGCAAGCGGACCUCAUAAAGUGCGUCGUAGUCCGGAUUGGAGUCUGCAACUCGACUCCAUGAAGUCGGAAUCGCUAGUAAUCGUGGAUCAGAAUGCCACGGUGAAUACGUUCCCGGGCCUUGUACACACCGCCCGUCACACCAUGGGAGUGGGUUGCAAAAGAAGUAGGUAGCUUAACCUUCGGGAGGGCGCUUACCACUUUGUGAUUCAUGACUGGGGUGAAGUCGUAACAAGGUAACCGUAGGGGAACCUGCGGUUGGAUCACCUCCUUA
rnacentral:rRNA from 1 species